UUAAAUUAUCCAAACGGAUCAUAGGUCUGCACAGUAAGCCUUGGCAACCAAGGAAGCUCUCUUCCACAUCGCCCCUGCUUUUCUAUUUAAAUACUUCUUUUUCUGCUCAUUUAAGUCUCACACUCACCUCUCAUGGACUCUUCUUCCCUCUGUAGCCUUCUCUUUUCUUCAAGAUUUUGAUCUAAUCACUACCCAUCUCCAAGAAAAUGGAGCUUUUUCCCUCUAAAUCCACUCCACAGCACCACCGCCGCCACCAAACUCUCCCUCCUAAGAGAGGCCAGAUAAAGGCGAAGAUUUUCAAAGAUUUAAUAAAAUCAGCUUCUUCAACCUUUGCUUCUCUUGGUAAAUCGUUCUCUGAGUCUAGCUCUAGCUCUAGCUCCCUGCUCCUGCUGCAAUUUCUAGUGGGUAUAACUCAGAUGAUCCUUGAGCCUUGUUCUCUCUGUUGCUCCAGUUGAAUUGGGAUUUUCUUCUUUUUUUCUCCAAAAUUGGCCUACUGCUGCAAUUUGUAUUCAUAAAUAAUUCUUUUAUUAUAUUUUCCCCCUUUUUAUGUAAGUAGGCAUGUUGUUAUAAGCUGAAUAUAGCUAAUUGAAAAUUGAAAUUGAUGAGUUUUUUCUUGGUAUUUCCUCUGUAGUUUCAUAACUCAUGCAUCUUCCAUGUCUGUUCUUGUGAAAUAUACCAAGGGAAUUUAUACAUUUGCAGCUAAAAGGAUGUGCUUUUUUGAGUGUUUGCUAAAAAAAUUUUUCAAAUUUUGUGAUGAUACUGGUUACGGGAUUGGAAAGUGAUAAGAUCCAUCAAGUACAAUCACAUGAAUGAGAAUUAAGGAAGUAAGAGUUCCACAGCGGACCAGUGACAAGGAGCAAAGCUAUCUGUUGCUACAAUUGAAUUGGGAUUUUCUUCUUCUUUUUUUCUCCCAAAUUGGCCUACUGCCGCAAUUUGUAUUCAUAAAUAAUACUUUUAUUAUAUUUUCCCCCUUUUGAUGUAAGUAGGCAUGUUGUUAUAAGCGGAAUAUAGCUAAUUGAAAAUUGAAAUUGAUGAGCUUUUUCUUGGUAUUUCCUUUGUAGUUUUGUAACUCAUGCAUCUUCCAUGUCUGUUCUUGUGAAAUAUACCAAGGGAAUUUAUACAUUUGCAGCUAAAAGGAUGUGCUUUUUUUGAGUGUUUGAUAACAUGUUUUUCCAAAUUUUGUGAUGAUAUUGGUGACGGGAUUGGAAAGUGAUAGGAACCAUCGAUCACAGUUACAUGAGAAUUAAAGUUAAGAAAAUUGAAGCCGCUAUGAACUUAUAUAUUCAAGAAUGACGCAAGAAUUGAUCGAGUUUGU
rnacentral:lncRNA from 1 species